rnacentral:rRNA from 1 species
CAGUCGCCGCGGUAAUACGAAGGGUGCUAGCGUUAAUCGGAAUUACUGGGCGUAAAGCGUGCGUAGGCGGUGAGUUAAGUCUGCUGUGAAAUCCCCGGGCUCAACCUGGGAAUGGCAGUGGAUACUGGCUCGCUAGAGUGUGUCAGAGGAUGGUGGAAUUCCCGGUGUAGCGGUGAAAUGCGUAGAUAUGCGGAGGAACACCGAUGGCGAAGGCAAUCCCCUGGACCUGUACUGACACUCAUGCACGAAAGCGUGGGGAGCAAACAGGAUUAGAUACCCGAGUAGUCCCUGUCUCUUAUAA